AUGCACACUUUUCCUGCGUUUUCCUCCUCUGUCUUUUAUGCUUGGCUGCUAACAAGGUGGCCCACAUUACACAACUCUAGCGAGCCAGCGGACUCCGUCCCCCGGCCCGAGUCUCCGCCAGACUCACCCAUUAGAAAUAAUUUUCUGUUUGAAAUGGGUGUCAACAAUCUCCUCUCGAAGCGGGUAUCCACAGCCUGCCAAUGGUAUGAUUCUCUUUCCGUCUUUAUUUUCAUUGAAGUUACAUACGCACAGAUUUUUAAGUGCCAAAUUGUUCUGUUUUUUUUUUUUUCUUUUUUUGCAGAAAAACAGCGAUCUCCCCAGUUUCCCCUCCCUAGAGGCAACCACUUUCAGCUCUUGUGGCAGAAAAUAAUUCCAAGUGCCAGUCUCCUGAAGCAACCCGAACAGUGUGUCCUCUUUUCCUGAAGAGUAUAUGAGACUGGGGUUACAUUUUUCCAGAAGCCUUUGAUAUAACUUAUAUGUGAAGCUAGGACUUUUCCUCACUGAGAGGUUUUAAAUUAGGAAUUCAAUUUUGAAAAAGGAUCUAAGGCUAUUUGAAUUUUUGUAUUGUCCUUGUUAAUUUUGGUAAGAUUUACUUUUAAUUUUUUUAUAAACUGUUGAAUUUAUAGGCACAAAAUCAUUAAUUGUCAUAUCAUCUUGGAGAACUGAAUCCUUUGUCAUUAUGGGAUGGCUGUCUUUAUCAGUGGUAAUGUUUCUCAUCUGAAGCCUCCUUUGAUAAAGCUCUUUUAGCUUUCCUUAGAUUCCUGUCUGCACAGUGUGUUGUUUUCCACCCUUUUUCUCUUUAUCUAUGUCUCUAGAUUAAACUGGCAAUUUUGCAGGUAAGGCAUAGUUGGGUCUUGCUUUUCAUCUGACCUGACAAAUGUCUAUCUUUCUAUUAGUGUUAUUUGCAUUUAAUAUGGUUAUUGAUGUGAUCGAGUUAAAAUUUACCAUUUAACCAGUUGUUUUCUAUUUGUUCCAUCUGUUCUCUUUCUUUUUGCCCUUUUUCUGUUUAAUUGGGUGUUUUUGAUGUUUCACUGUUGUUUCCACUGUUGAGUUAUCAUUUACGACUCUUGAUAACAUUUAGCAGUUGGCUUAGUCUGUAUUGUGCGUGUCUACUUUGAGAUAACAGCACCCUGUUUCACGUCUUGCAUGAGGACGUGAUAUCCCCGAUGCCUGCCUCCCAGUCUCCUUCUGCCAUUGCCACGGAUUCAUCCUCACAUACGCUUCUAAUAUCCGACGCUACCAUCUGUGCCUCACAUAGCUGUCUUCCUACUUGUUCCAUUCCCAGUGCUCUCAAUUUCCUGGUGUGGAUUCAAGUUUCUGUCUGCCACUGUGUUCCUUCUUCCUGAAGAACUCUCUUGAACACUCCUGAGAACCUGAGUCCACAGGCAAUGAGUUCCCUCAGAUUUUGUGUUGCUGCUUUCGA
rnacentral:lncRNA from 1 species